rnacentral:rRNA from 1 species
AGCCACUGCUAUUGGGGUUCGGCUAAGCCAUGCGAGCGGAGGGCGCGGUCGAAAGAUCGUGGCCCCGCACACGGCUCAGUAACACGUAGUCAACCUACCCUUGGGACGGGGACAACCUCGGGAAACUGAGGCUAAUCCCCGAUAGGCGAGGGGCGCUGGGAUGCCUUCUUGCCAAAAGCUCCGGCGCCCAAGGAUGGGACUGCGACCUAUCAGGCUGUUGGUGGUGUGACGGACCACCAAACCUACGACGGGUACGGGCGAUGGGAGUCGGAGCCCGGAGAUGGGGACUGAGACAAGGCCCCAGGCCCUACGGGGCGCAGCAGGCGCGAAAACUCCGCAAUGCGCGCAAGCGUGACGGGGGAAUCCCAAGUGCCGUUGGCUUUUGAUCGACGGCUUUUAGGAAGUUUAAGAAGCUUCCAGAAUAAGGGCUGGGUAAGACUGGUGCCAGCCGCCGCGGUAACACCAGCAGCCCAAGUAGUGGCCGCGAUAUUGGGCCUAAAGCGCUCGUAGCCGGGCCAGCAAGUCCUUUGUGAAAUCGGGCCGCUCAACGGUUCGGCGUGCAAGGGAUACUGUUGGCCUUGAGGCCGGGAGUGGUCUGAGGUACUCCUGGGGUAGCGGUGAAAUGCUCUAAUCCUGGGGGGACCACCAGUGGCGAAGGCGUCCGACCAGAACGGACCUGACGGUGAGGGGCGAAGGCUAGGGGAGCGAACGGGAUUAGAUACCCCGGUAGUCCUAGCUGUAAAGCAUGCGGGCCAGGUGUCUAGCGCUCCCUGAGGGCGCUAUGUGCCGGAGGGAAGCCGUUAAGCCCGCCGCCUGGGAAGUACGGUCGCAAGGCUGAAACUUAAAGAAAUUGGCGGGGGAGCACCACAAGAGGUGGGACCUGCGGUUCA